ACUAAAGUACCUUUUUUAUGAAGAUCAUAUCAAAAUAGCAAUUACCUUCUCAUGGCCAACGAGCGCAGAUCCACAUAUCACCCAUUCACUAGUCAGAAAAGGUGAGGCAGUCCAAAGUUCAGCCCUUUGCAUCGGAGAGGGUGAAAUCGGACCAUCAAUGUCGGAAGAUGGUCUGCAAAAUUCAAAGAGGGGUCAUCACAAGACACGAUCAGGUAAUAGCAAAAUACAGUUAUGUAUAACAGGCACAGUGGCGUACUGCUGCAGCUUGGCCUUCUUUUUUGGCUUUAAUCUCUCACAAGGCAACUUUUUUGACGAAUGUGUAGGACACAGCAUAACAAAGUUCUCCUGGAGCAAAUCACAUUUGUUCAGUGAUAUGGUCAACAAAUACUUUACCACAAAAGGGCACGCACUUUUUGUUUAA
rnacentral:misc_RNA from 1 species